rnacentral:rRNA from 1 species
AUGAAUUGCCUUAGUUGGAACUGCCGGGGAGGGGGGAACACCCGGACAGUUCGUGAGCUAGCGACGUUGUGUAAGUUGCAUUCCCCCAUGUUGGUCUUUUUGUGUGAAACGAGACAAAAGGAAGAGAAGAUGAAACGGAUCCAAGCUAAACUUGGAUUGAAGGGCUUUUGUGGAGUGGAUAGUAAUGGAUUAAGCGGUGACUUGGCGCUAUAUUGGAGGAAAGAAUGUGUUGUUGAUGUUUUGGACAAGGAUGACAGAUUUAUUGACAUUGUUAUCAAAGCCCGAGAAGGUGCACCGGAGUGGAGAGCUACCUUUGUAUAUGGGGAGCCACGGGUGGAAAAUAGACACCUAAUGCGGACUAAGUUACGGAAUCUGAAAGUUGCUAAUAAUUUGCCCUGGCUAGUUAUAGGUGACUUUAAUGAAGCCAUGUGGGAUUUUGAGCAUAGCACAGAUGAUAGCCUUCAGGGAUACCUUGGAGGUGUGUGA